CGGUUUAAGUUAGACGGUUUGACUUAGAUGUUAGAACAUGAAAGUCAUUUAUAUGGUAAAAGAACAUGAUAUGUUUGUUUGAUGUUUUAUGUGAAAUUAGAAAAGGUUGAUGGCUUUGUGAACUAGAGUUAGUUGUAUCCAAGUCUUUUACUUACGAAGUACACACAUUUAUAUUGUAGAUUCCGGUUUCAUUGAGGAGCCGUAUUGACUGAGCUAGUUGGUUUGAUAUAGUUUAAAAGGUACAUGAAGGCUUAGAGUCGGGGUAUGGGCGGAGAGCAACGUCCACUAGUUUUGCGUAAAUAUAGUUAUAAUAGUUCUGUUCUGGUGCAUUUCUUAUAUAUAAUCAAUAUUUUGAAACUUAGGGUUGUAAAUAUUAAUCCACCUAAAUCUUUAUUCGGUUGGGUUGUAAUAGUUUAAAAUAAGCUUUAAUUUAGUUUUGGUGCAGGUAGUUCUUCCUUAGCGAUUAUUCUCGUAAUAAUCGUGGAAUAACACGUUUGGAUUUCGAGUAGUUAUACCGGAAUUUUGUUGGUA